UACGUAGGGCGCAAGCGUUGUCCGGAAUUAUUGGGCGUAAAGAGCUCGUAGGCGGCUUGUCACGUCGGGUGUGAAAGCCCGGGGCUUAACCCCGGGUCUGCAUUCGAUACGGGCUAGCUAGAGUGUGGUAGGGGAGAUCGGAAUUCCUGGUGUAGCGGUGAAAUGCGCAGAUAUCAGGAGGAACACCGGUGGCGAAGGCGGGUCUCUGGGCCGAAACUGACGCUGAGGAGCGAAAGCCAGGGGAGCAAACGGG
rnacentral:rRNA from 1 species